AGAGUUUGAUCAUGGCUCAGAAUGAACGUGGCGGCGUGGAUUAGGCAUGCAAGUCGAACGUUAGCGGUAGCAAUACCGCAAAAGUGGCGAAAGGGAGAGUAAUACGUAGGUACCUGCCCUCGGGUCUGGGAUAGCUGCGGGAAACUGCAAUUAAUACCGGAUGACGUCUCUGGACCAAAGGUGUGAUUCCGCCAGGGGAUGGGCCUGCGUCCUAUCAGCUAGUUGGUGUGGUAACGGCGCACCAAGGCUAAGACGGGUACGGGGUGUGAGAGCAUGCCCCCGCUCACUGGGACUGAGAUACUGCCCAGACACCUACGGGUGGCUGCAGUCGAGAAUCUUCCGCAAUGGGCGCAAGCCUGACGGAGCGACGCCGCGUGUGGGAUGAAGGCCUUCGGGUUGUAAACCACUGUCAGUGGGGAGCAAAUGCAUCAGGGUUCUCUCUGGUGUUUGAGCGAUCCGCAGAGGAAGCACAGGCUAAUUCCGUGCCAGCAGCCGCGGUAAUACGGAAUGUGCGAACGUUAUUCGGAAUCACUGGGCUUAAAGAGUCCGUAGGCGGCCUGUUAGGUGAGGUGUGAAAUCCCCCGGCUCAACCGUGGAAUUGCGCUUCAAACCGGCAGGCUAGAGGAGGAUAGAGGUGGGCGGAACUGAUGGUGGAGCGGUGAAAUGCGUUGAUAUCAUCAGGAACACCGGAGGCGAAAGCGGUCCACUGGGUCCUUUCUGACGCUGAGGGACGAAAGCUAGGGGAGCGAACGGGAUUAGAUACCCCGGUAGUCCUAGCCUUAAACGAUGAGCACUAGACCGAAGAAUCUCCACGAUUUUUUGGUCGUAGCGAAAGUGUUAAGUGCUCCGCCUGGGGAGUAUGGUCGCAAGGCUGAAACUCAAAUGAAUUGACGG
rnacentral:rRNA from 1 species